rnacentral:lncRNA from 10 species
CCGAGUCACUCAGCAAUUGCUGUCCAGGAUCUCUGGAAGUAAAGCAGCAACAAAAACCAGUACAGGGGUAUUUAGAGAAACAGAAAUUAUCCAGAAAGAAGAAAAUCUCUUUUUUAAAAAGUAUUAGUUCCCUCAAAGGGAUGAAGUAUUGCAAACAUGAAAUAGGAACAGGAUUCUAUUUUAAGAAAAGCGACAUUCUGAAACCAAAAAAGUGCUCAUAAAGUUAAAAAUACGAUAUGAAAAAAAUUAAAGUCAGCAGCAGGCUUGGAAGCUAUAGAUGAGGAAAUCUCCCAGAAAGUAGAUCAAAAAGACAAAGAUAUAGAUAAUAGGAAAGAAAAGAUAAAAAACAAAACAAAACAAAACAAAAAAAACUAGAGAAACCAUCCAGAAGAUGCCAUCCAAAUAAGAGGAGUUCCAGAGAGAACAGAGAAACACAGGGGAGUACAUCAGCAACAAAACAACAAUAAAACAUGUCCCUAAGAGAGUGACAAGAAUUGCCAGAUUGAAAAGGCCCAUGAGUACCAAGUGAGACGGACAAAAAUAGACCCAUGCUGAAACAUAUCAUCGUGAAAUUUCGGAACACUAGGAGCAAAGAGAAGAUUUUAAAAAAU